rnacentral:tRNA from 1 species
UAGUUCAAUAGUAGAGCACUUGCCUAGCAUGUAUGAGGCUCUGGGUUCAAUUCCCAG